UUCCAUAAGAAAGCUGCAACCUCAGUGGGAGGAAGAAUUUGUCGCCCUGGCCCCCCUUCCCCCACGCCGGUUUUCUGCUGGAAGCGGGCUCCUGGUCUCAGAGCCCGAAGUGUGCACUCUUGUCUUUGAUGGUGUUGAUAAAAUGUGGUUUCGAAUGUUGCCCAGAAGGAGGCCGGUUUCCUGUCUGUAGGGCUAGGGGAAGGCUGCGCCGGGCGAGUCCAGAGCUCCGGGUAACCGAGAAGGAGGGAGUAGGGGAAAGAAGAGUCCUGGGGACACGGGAGCUACCGAGAGGACACCUUGAAGAGAAAGUUCUUCGUGUGCAGUGUUCCGGCCGACUAAAUGGGCUUGCCUUCUGCUAAGAGUCAGUCCUGGAAGACAAAGCUAACAUGUGAUCUCCCGGAAGUUCGUCAUUAGAAUACCCCCAUCAUAGCCAUCACAAUAAAGCAUGGGCACCAAUGAUCAUA